rnacentral:rRNA from 1 species
AACGAACGCUGGCGGCAGGCCUAACACAUGCAAGUCGAACGCACCUUCGGGUGAGUGGCGCACGGGUGAGUAACACGUGGGAAUGUACCCUUUGGUUCGGAAUAACGUUUGGAAACGAACGCUAAUACCGGAUGAGCCCUGCGGGGGAAAGAUUUAUCGCCAAAGGAGCAGCCCGCGUCUGAUUAGCUAGUUGGUGGGGUAAAGGCCUACCAAGGCGACGAUCAGUAGCUGGUCUGAGAGGAUGAUCAGCCACACUGGGACUGAGACACGACCCAGACUCCUACGGGAGGCAGCAGUGGGGAAUAUUGGACAAUGGGCGGAAGCCUGAUCCAGCCAUGCCGCGUGAGUGAUGAAGGCCUUCGGGUUGUAAAGCUCUUUCGCACGCGACGAUGAUGACGGUAGCGUGAGAAGAAGCCCCGGCCAACUUCGUGCCAGCCGCCGCCGUAACAC